rnacentral:tRNA from 1 species
GGGAGAGUUCCAUAGCGGCAAUUGGAGCUGACUGUAAAUCAGCCGAUUUAUUUCUUCGUAGGUUCGAGUCCUACCUCUCCCA